rnacentral:tRNA from 1 species
UGUGUAAAAGUCAAAAAAGAGACAAAUUAUUGUUAAUAAUUUUAAUGAGAGUUUCUCUCUUGCACAA